CCUCUUUGCAGCACCUCUCAUGCUCCAUCGGGUCAGAUGGGGAGCGUCUGUGCACAGCCAUUUUCAGAUCUCUCUAGAGAUGUUCAAUCAGAUUCAGGUCUGGGCUCUGCCUGGGCCAAUCAGUGACAUUCACGGAGUUGUCCUGGAGCCACUCCUUUGAUAUCUUGGCUGUGUGCUUAGCAGUGGCGGUUUUGCA